UACGUAGGGUGCGAGCGUUGUCCGGAAUUAUUGGGCGUAAAGAGCUCGUAGGCGGCUUGUUGCGUCUGCCGUGAAAAUUCACAGCUCAACUGUGGACGUGCGGUGGAUACGGGUAGGCUUGAGUUCGGUAGGGGAGACUGGAAUUCCUGGUGUAGCGGUGAAAUGCGCAGAUAUCAGGAGGAACACCGGUGGCGAAGGCGGGUCUCUGGGCCGGUACUGACGCUGAGGAGCGAAAGCGUGGGGAGCAAACAGG
rnacentral:rRNA from 1 species